CUCCAGGUGAUCCUGCCGGACCCGACUGCUAUCGGAUUGAGAUUUAGCCAUGCGAGUCGAACGUCCCCCUGUUGCGGGGGGCGUGGCGUACGGCUCAGUAACACGUAGUCAACCUGCCCUGGAGACAAGGACAACCCCGGGAAACUGGGAUUAAUCCUUGAUAGGUCAUCUCAUCUGGAAGGAGAGAUGGCUUAAAGGGGUACGCGGGCUUCUUCCGCGAAUUCGCUCCAGGAUGGGACUGCGUCCGAUCAGGCUGUUGGCGGGGUAAUGGCCCACCAAACCUGUAACCGGUACGGGCCUUGAGAGAGGUGGCCCGGAGAUGGACACUGAGAGAAGGGUCCAGGUCCUACGGGGCGCAGCAGGCGCGAAACCUUCGCAAUGCGCGAAAGCGUGACGAGGUUAAUCCGAGUGAUUUCCGCUGAGGAGAUCUUUUGUCAGCUGUAAAUAGGCAGGCGAAUAAGGGGAGGGCAAGCCUGGUGUCAGCCGCCGCGGUAAUACCAGCUCCUCGAGUGGUCGGGGCGAUUAUUGGGCCUAAAGCAUCCGUAGCCGGUUCCGUAGGUCCUCUGUUAAAUCCAACCGCUUAACGGUUGACCUGCAGAGGAUACCGCGGGACUAGGAGGCGGGAGAGGCGGACGGUAUUCCGCGUGUAGGGGUAAAAUCCUUUGAUCCGCGGAGGACCACCAGUGGCGAAGGCGGUCCGCCAGAACGCGCUCGACGGUGAGGGAUGAAAGCUGGGGGAGCGAACCGGAUUAGAUACCCGGGUAGUCCCAGCCGUAAACGAUGCUAGCUAGAUGAUUCAUUCGCAAGUCGCGAAUGAAGUGUCGCAGGGAAGCCGUUAAGCUAGCCGCCUGGGGAGUACGGUCGCAAGACUGAAACUUAAAGGAAUUGCCGGGGGAGCA
rnacentral:rRNA from 1 species